UUCAGUCAUGGCUGGAUACAUUCUCAGCACACAGGCACAUAGGGAUUGCUUUAAUUCGCAACAAAGUACCGCAAGAAAUUCGGCUUCGGGUUCGUCACUAGCACGAACCUGUUUCUUUCGCAACAAAUACUAGAGGAGGUGCAGGCACGCUAUCAGAAUAGUCUACUGGUUGAACUUGAAAUUGCAUCUCGGUAGGAAUUCACUCUUAUAGAAAGAGGUCUUACGAAACUUUGGGAACGUUUGGCUUGGGAAAAGACUCAAAAAGUUCCGGAAGAGACAGGCGAGAUAGUUCAAGAUUCAAUGCUCGAAGAAGACAUUGUGCCAGAUAGUUCUGACGAGGUUGUCUCUAAAGGACACCAACCUUCCAUCAUAACCUUUGACCUCAAUAAAACUUCAGAGGAGAAUGAUAUCUGUUGACUCAAUGCUUUAUUAUUAGUCUGACUUAUCU